UACCAGCACCCCGAGUGGUCGGGACGAUUAUUGGGCCUAAAGCAUCCGUAGCCGGUUCUACAAGUCUUCCGUUAAAUCCACCUGCUUAACAGAUGGGCUGCGGAGGAUACUAUGGAGCUAGGAGGCGGGAGAGGCAAGCGGUACUUAGUGGGUAGGGGUAAAAUCCGUUGAUCCAUUAAAGACCACCAGUGGCGAAGGCGGCUUGCCAGAACGCACUCGACGGUGAGGGAUGAAAGCUGGGGGAGCAAACCGG
rnacentral:rRNA from 1 species